rnacentral:rRNA from 1 species
UUUAAAGUCUGGCCUGCCCAAUGAUUUAAAUAUUUAAUGGCCGCAGUAUUUUGACUGUGCAAAGGUAGCAUAAUCAUUAGUUUUUUAAUUGAAAGCUAGUAUGAAUGGUUUUAUGAAAAAAUAACUGUCUCAUUUAUAAAUUUAUAAUUUUAUUUUUAAGUUAAAAAGCUUAAAUAUAUUAAAAAGACGAGAAGACCCUAUAGAGUUUAAUAUAAUAAAUUUUAGUAUAGAUAUUUAGAUUAAUAAAUUAUUUAAAUUUUAUUAUGUUUUAUUGGGGUGAUAGAAAAAUUUAAUUAACUUUUUAUAAAUUUUAACAUUAAUGUAUGAAUUUUUGAUCCUAUAAUUUAGAUUAUAAGAAAAAAUUACCUUAGGGAUAACAGCGUAAUUUUUUUUUAGAGUUCUAAUCGAAAAAAAAGAUUGCGACCUCGAUGUUGGAUUAAAAUUAAAUUAUGGUGUAGAAGCUAUAAAUUUAGGUCUGUUCGACCUUUAAAAUUUUACA